rnacentral:lncRNA from 1 species
GGAUGCAUUAUAAGUGCAUUUGCUUGAAAAGAAUAUUGAUUCUUUUGGCAUGUGAUACAAAUGGUCAUAUGCAUAAAUAGUUUGCCCAUUUGCUUAAAGAUUUGAAAAUUUGCUCAUUGGAUUAUGUGAUUUUGGUGUUAGAGCAAAAAAUUUAUUUUUGUUAUCAGAGCAAGUUGUAUCUUGAAAAUUUGCUCAUUCUCAUUUGAUUAUUUAGUUUUAGUAUC